GUUGAAGUCCCACUUAGUCCUCGAUUUAUUUUUUCAAAAGUACCUCAAAUGUUGUAAAAAGUAGCUAAGCUAUACAUCUCCCGUUAAAAAAAAUCGAAGAUGUACCAAGGGACUAACACACAACAAAAAUAAAAUUUAAUAAAUCUUUUUUUAUUAUUUUCUCUUUCUUUUCCCUAUUUUCUCUCUCCUUUCUUCUUAAGAGACACAGUAACCGAAGCCGGUGAACGCAAGAGCUAUGUUGACUGGGACUGUUUGUAACGGUCUGAACUUAGUGACGUUAUUGAUCUUGUCGCUUGUGGAUUCUUCAGUUCCUUCGAAAUUGGCGGUGAAUCAAUAUACUUCUCCGUCUCCGGCAAAGAAGCAUUAACAAUUUGAAGAAAGAAUCCAAGUCAGAUAUAUAUUCUGGUUGUCAUUGUCAUAGCACUGAAACACAAAUAACACAAUACAGAAAGGUAAAAUAAAAAUCUCACCGUCGCCGGAGGGAGGCGUUUGGUGGUAUAAAGGCGUUUUCCCAUUCGGUGUCGAUCGAAUAGCCGAAGGAAACCGGACAUAUAUACAACCCAUUUGUUUCUCCAUCUGCUUCUCCAGAUUCUGAUCAUGUACCAUCCUCGUCGUCAUUUUCACACUCACACGUAAUCUAUCUGUCCUCAACAAGCGGUGGCGCCCGGAGUGAUGACUAAAAUGGAGGAUGAGGGGAUGGUGGCGGAUUAAUCGAGGACUUAUGACGCGUUGUUGUUUGGCUCGUUUAAGGCUGGGAAGGUGGUGGUGGCUCUGGCGGUGCUGAGGAGAAUGUUGGAUGAUGGAUUGUG
rnacentral:lncRNA from 1 species